GCCAUCCUUCUAUACGACAGAUUUGUGGUUAAUGGCAGAGGUCAGAGCGUUGAAACCUUCGUGGUCAGAAGAACCACUCUUUUAUCCUUUAUUGUCACGUGUUAAGUAACAUAUACGCGAAAUAUUUCAAAAUUAAGACUCGCCUAAUAAAAUGGCGUGUUCGCUUUUACCGACGGAGAAAAUGAAAUCGAGAUAGGCUUGGAUAAGUAAAGUCUAUUAUAGGGGAUGCAGAGGUAAAACAUUCACCGUUUCCGGAAGUAGACGUUUCGUUUUACCUGGCUCUGCCAUCGAAAAUGAUUAGAAAAUGAAUAGUAAGUGGUGAUCUAAGAAGGUAUCAUAGGUUUUUCAACCCUUUUGCAAUUUUUAACAAAAAAGACAUCUCGAGAUGACGAAUGUGUUUAUUAAGAAGACCCUUUCAUCAAAAUAUUACGAUCAAGUAAUCGUUAAGAAAUGUUGUAUUUCACGAUCAACAAGAAACAAUGAACGAACGAUAAAUAUUUAUAUUUGCGUGAAAUGAGCUAAGUCAUCAAAUAGAGGUUAUCAUCGGUCUGCGAUGUUUGCGUGCGUAUGUGUUUAACGUAUCGGAGAAUAUAUCUGCCGUUUUCAGCAUAAGUAAAGAUCGAAUAGUUAGAAAUUUUUUGGCUAAUCAUGGCACAAGACGAGGAAAACAAGUUGAUUAGAGAAGAUUUUAAUGCCGGCCCAUCCAGUUUUGAUGAAAUCGAACCAGAUCUAUUUCUAGGGAAUCUCACAGCUGCCACGGAUGUGAAGUGGUUGAAAGAAAUUAAUAUGACUCACAUACUUACGGUAGAUUCUUGUCCUCUACCAAGAAAGAUUCAAGAACGAUUACCCAAUCUCACUGUAAAAUAUAUUCAAAUAACAGAUAUGCCAAGGGAAGAUUUAUUAACUCAUUUGGAAGAUUCUUAUGAAUUUAUUGAUCAAGCUUUAAAAUCAAAUGGCAGAACGCUGGUACAUUGUUACUUUGGCGUAUCCAGAUCCGUUAGCGUUGUUAUCGCUUAUAUUAUGAAGAAACAUAGAAAAUCUUUUUUAGAUGCAUUGGAAAUAGUCAAACAAAAGAGACAUUUUGUUGGACCAAAUCCUGGAUUUAUAGCUCAAUUGCAAUUAUACGAAGAGAUGGACUUUGGUAUAGACAAUACUAAUGUUCAAUUUAAGAUGUACAGAUUGCAAAUAGCUGCGGAUAAAGUGAGGAAAGUGAAAAUUUUACCCCAAAAUUGCAUUGAUUUAAUAAAGCCGGAUCCUGCAUUAACGACUAUACGCCCAGAACCAACCGUUUAUCGUUGUAGAAAGUGUCGAAGAAUCGUGGCAAGUGCAAGUAAUAUUUUACCGCAUACAAUGCACCAACGACAGAUUUGGCGACAUAUUAGUUCUAAACGAAUAUCUAAACAGAUAAAAGACGGGGAAGAUGGAGCAGAACGUGUAAAUGUAAAGAAAGAAAGCGAAAUGACAGAACUAUGCACAAAGAUAUAUUUUGUGGAGCCGUUGGCAUGGAUGCCAGACAUAAUGCAUAAUGUGGAAGGAAAGUUGAAUUGUCCAAAGUGUAAUACAAAAUUAGGCUCUUUUAGCUGGGUAGCCGGUAGUCAGUGCCCAUGUGGUAGUAAAAUAGCUCCUGCAUUUUAUUUAGUACCGUCUAAAGUCGAUUGGAGUAAUGCCGUUCAGAAUGUACAGAUAACAGUAUAGUACCAAAGAUUAAUAGAUCAUUUAUGAUGAAAAUGAUUCUAUGGACGGAUAAUUACAAUAAUUAUUAUUAUCAUAGCUGUCAUUGUAUUAAUGUAUUAUUAAGAAAGUUAUACUUGUGUUUAAUCUAUCCGACUGCUAAUACUACAUGCAUUCGCAUAUUAUCCCAUUUGAUCAAGUAUACAUGGAUAUCUAUAUACACAAUACAGUAAAUCUCGUUAAGGAAUUAUUAUGUAUACCUUGUAUACGAUAUCCUUAGCUCUCCUCACGGUUUAUACAACGUAUAAACAUAUAUAUUUGAAAGUGAAAGUAUCUUUGGUUUUAACGAACGAAUCCUGUGCAAGCGCUAGAAUCUUGUGGACGAAAGAAAGCAGGACGAAAUAAAAUUAUUAUCGAGGACGUGUA